rnacentral:lncRNA from 10 species
GACUUCCGGUUCCCGCGCGGCGCUCCAAAGCUCGGGGAGUGGUGGUCUCCCUUUCCUGGAGUCAUUUGUGGGAGUUAGGGUCUUAUCCUGAUCUUUCCUCGUCCCCCGCUCCCCCGUCCUCCGAGGUGGCAGCUGCAUCGGGGGUCAUACUACACAUCGAUCGGGACCUUAGUCAUGUUGUGAUAUGGACAGCUUUCUUACCAGUACUCAUAAGCCUGCUUCAUUUUUUACGUGGCGGCACCACUGAGUGGUUGACGAAGUCUGGAACGUUUUUUCUUAGAGUUCCAGAAUUGAGACUGAAGUGUACCCAGAGACACAAAGAAAUACAGAAGUCCAGAAUGAUCAAAUGAGAUCACUACCCAAUGAAAUGAUGGGCCGAGGAGCCAGAAGUUGUCCUACUACCUGCUUUCCAGGUCCAGAUUCCACGAGAGCCUUCUGGGCUCCCACCAGAGACCCUCAGUGAAGACUCUGUUGAAGACUUUAAGACCAUGCUAGAAAGCCUCCCGGCAGAGGUUCAGGAAGUUCUGCUAUGAGGAUGCAGCUGGCCCCAGGGAUGUCCUCAGGCAUCUCUAGGACCUUGCUGGACGGUGGUGGCUGAGACCUGAUAUCCACACAAAGGAGCAGACUGUGGAAAUGCUGGUGCAGGAGCAAUUCCAGGCUGUCCUGCCCGAGGAGCUCAGAGCUCAAGCACAGAGAUGUCAGCCUGGAAUCAGAAUCACUGGCUAAGUCUUGCUGCUUGCUUCUUGCUCAGCCUGCAUAUGAGAAGUCAACCAAGCAUUCUCUUGGAUGCAAGAUCCAACUGCACCCAUGGGAAAUCUGAACUUCCACUUUCUUUGAGCUUGUCUUUGGUUGUAAUAAGAAUCCAUCAAAACCCAUGUCUGGAUCUCUCUUUGGCUGAGGCAGCUUUAUUUCCUACAGAAAGAGUUUCUCUGUCCUCUUGUUAGGACAAUCAGCCUGCUGCUUUGGGCUUUUCCAAGAGCCUAUUUUUCAUCUGCUGGAUGCCUCUUUUUUUUUUUUUUUUUUUUUUUGCACUGUGUGACAUGCUUUAAUAUAUAUAUUUUUUAUGUAUCCAAAGAGGUAAUCAACUUUAACUUUCAGAAUUCAUGAAUCUUGGUUUGGUGGCAUGAAUGAAAGGUUAUGUAACCCCACCAGUAACUCAUUUGGGGUGCCCUUGAAAUAUUAAAGUUUGGUCCUCAAUAAAU